rnacentral:rRNA from 1 species
CAGAAGUGCGAAUGCUGACAUGAGUAACGAUAAGGGGGGUGAAAAACCUCCCCGCCGGAAGAUCAAGGUUUCCUGUCCAACGCUAAUCGGGACAGGGUGAGUCGGCCCCUAAGGCGAGGCAGAGAUGCGUAGUCGAUGGGAAGCAGGUUAAUAUUCCUGCACUUCUUUAUAUUGCGAUGGGGGGACGGAGAAGGCUAGGCCAGCGCGGCGAUGGUUGUCCGCGUUUAAGGUUGUAGGCUGGUGACUUAGGUAAAUCCGGGUUGCCUUAAGGCCGAGAGCUGAUGACGAGCUUCGAGCGAAAGCGACAAGCGAAGUGGUCGAUGCCAUGCUUCCAGGAAAAGCCUCUAAGCUUCAGAUAUAAAGGAACCGUACUGUAAACCGACACAGGUGAUCAGGUAGAGAAUACCCAGGCGCUUGAGAGAACUCGGGUGAAGGAACUAGGCAAAAUG